rnacentral:lncRNA from 1 species
AAACCAUAUAUGGUCAAUGGUUACACUUACUGGCUGGUACGCACAUGCAUCCCUGGGUGGUCUUGCAGGCACAGUAGUGAGUGAUAGGAGCCUGGAGAAAAGCUGGAAAAUCUUGCUGACUUGGUAGGUGGGGCCUCGAGCUGGUGUAUUUUAUUGCAGUGUGUCUCAAACUUGAGGAUACACGGAAUUACUUGGAGGGCUUGUUUGAACAGAUUCAGGGGCCUCCUCCCAGUGUGUCUGGGCUGGAGCUUAGAAUCUCUUUCUCACAGCUCCCGGGCCUGCAGACCACAUUUUGAGCAGCAUAGCUUUGACUAUUGUGGGACAAUGGCCCAUGGCAACACCACACGUUGGUCUGAGAUCUUCGAACAUUUAAUCCGCACAAUGUGAUUUUGAGGGAGGCAGGAGGUUUCACCCAGCGUGGCCUGUUUAGUACCAGCAAGUCUGUUCAUGAUCCGAAAUGCAGCUGAAAAAAAUAAAUAUAAUUAAAAAGACAACUCCGGCCAGCAUUCUCAGAGACUGCUUUAACAUGGGUGCAUAAUGAAUGCUAAGCUCAGUGCAGCA